GCUAAAUAGCUAGCCUCACCACACACAUCACAAAUGAAUAUUUAUAUAUAACCCCCCAUAAGAUCAAAAAAAAUAAACAAACCAUUUAAUCUCCCCAGUAUAGGCGAUAGAAAAGGAUAAAGCAGCGCAAUAGAGAAAGUACCGCAAGGGAAAGCUGAAAGAGAAAAUGAAACAACUUGUUAAAGCAAUAAAAAGCAAAGAUUAAAACUUGUACCUUUUGCAUCAUGAUUUAGCCAGUUCUUAUCAGGCAAAGAGAACUUUAGUCUGACCCCCCGAAACUAGACGAGCUACUCCGAGACAGCCUAAUAGGGCAAACCCGUCUCUGUGGCAAAAGAGUGGGAAGAUCUCCGAGUAGAGGCGACAAACCUAACGAGCCUAGUAAUAGCUGGUUGCUCAGGAAAUGAAUAUUAGUUCAGCCUCAAGGCUUCUACCGUCACCCAGGUCAUUACCAACAAAGACAUCAAGAAAACCUUAAGAGUUAUUCAAGAGAGGUACAGCUCUCUUGAAAAAGAACACAACCUUAACAGGCGGAUAAAGAUCACAUUAAAUCAUAAGGGACUUUGUUUCAGUGGGCCUAAAAGCAGCCACCUGCACAGGAAAGCGUUAAAGCUCAGACAAAAACCCCCCACCCUAUAUCCCGAUAAAACAAUCACAAUCCCCUAAACCUACAGAGCCACUCUAUAUAACUAUAGAAGCAAUAAUGCUAAAAUUAGUAACAAGAAGGCACGACCUUCUCCAAGCACACGUGUAAGUCAGAUCGGACCCACCACUGACAAAUAACGGACCCAACCAAAGAGGGAAGUACAGAAUAAUAAUAGAAAUCAAGAAAACCCUGUAAAACACAACCGUUAACCCAACACAGGAGUGCACCACCAAGGAAAGACUAAAAGAAAAAGAAGGAACUCGGCAAACACGAGCCUCGCCUGUUUACCAAAAACAUCGCCUCUUGCAAACCAAUGUAUUAGAGGUCCCGCCUGCCCUGUGACCAAAAGUUUAACGGCCGCGGUAUUUUGACCGUGCGAAGGUAGCGUAAUCACUUGUCUUUUAAAUGAAGACCUGUAUGAAUGGCAUAACGAGGGCUCAACUGUCUCCUUUUUCCAGUCAGUGAAAUUGACCUGCUCGUGCAGAGGCGAGCAUAAUCCCAUAAGACGAGAAGACCCUAUGGAGCUUAAAACACAAGAUCAACUAUGCUAUCAAGCCACCCACCCACGGAAAUAAUAGCUAAAAGCAUAAUAGUACCCUGAUCCUAAUGUUUUCGGUUGGGGCGACCACGGAGGACAAAAUAGCCUCCAUGUCGACGGGGGCACUGCCCCUAAAACCUAGGGCGACAGCCCAAAGCAACAGAACAUCUGACGAACAAUGACCCAGGCUACAAGCCUGAUCAACGAACCAAGUUACCCUAGGGAUAACAGCGCAAUCCUUUCUAAGAGUCCAUAUCGACGAAAGGGUUUACGACCUCGAUGUUGGAUCAGGACAUCCUAAUGGUGCAGCCGCUAUUAAGGGUUCGUUUGUUCAACGAUUAAAGUCCUACGUGAUCUGAGUUCAGACCGGAGUAAUCCAGGUCAGUUUCUAUCUAUGCAGUGACCCUUCCUAGUACGAAAGGACCGGAAGACUGAGGCCAAUGCUACAAGUAUGCCUCACCCCAACCUAAUGAAAACAACUAAAAUAGGUAAAGGGGCACAAACCUCCCCCCUAGAAUAGGGCAA
rnacentral:rRNA from 1 species